GCUACUCCAACCUUUUCACGUUUUGUGUCCUAUCUUUAAGGGUCUUAUCACCAUCUUAUAGAAUUUUCCCUUAAGUUUGAGGGGGACUUUUCUAUCGCACAACAAGCCCGAUGCAUUCCUCCACUUCAACCGACCAAUCUUUUUCAACUGGCGAAAAAAUUGAUGACUAUCCAAGUAGCCAUAUCUUCAAAUGUUGAAGGAGAUAUCAGAUAAAGAGGCAAAGUUGUACUUGAUGCCUGUUUUCUCUUAAAUUAGUUGUUGUAGUUGUUAUAUAAGUUUACAAUGCAUUUGAAUGUUUUCCAAUUACGUAUUAUGUGAAAAUUUCUAGUCAUAGAGGCAAAAUUUUUAUAUAAAGGGUUCAGUCAUUGUUCCUUCC